rnacentral:rRNA from 1 species
CACGUAGGGGGCAAGCGUUGUCCGGAAUCAUUGGGCGUAAAGCGCGUGUAGGCGGCUCGAUAAGUCUGCUGUGAAAGUCCAGGGCUCAACCCUGGAAUGCCGGUGGAAACUGUCGAGCUAGAGUCCGGAAGAGGCGAGUGGAAUUCCUGGUGUAGCGGUGAAAUGCGCAGAUAUCAGGAGGAACACCAAUGGCGAAGGCAGCUCGCUGGGACGGUACUGACGCUGAGACGCGAAAGCGUGGGGAGCAAACAGG